GCUGAUGGAUAGCUCAGUUGGUAGAGCGUGAGACUCUCAAUCUCAAGUAUCGUGGGUUUGAGUCCCAUGUUGGGCA